AGAGUUUGAUCCUGGCUCAGCACGAACGCUGGCGGCGUGCCUAAUACAUGCAAGUCGAGCGGACCGACGGGAGCUUGCUCCCUUAGGUCAGCGGCGGACGGGUGAGUAACACGUGGGUAACCUGCCUGUAAGACUGGGAUAACUCCGGGAUACCGGGGCUAAUACCGGAUGCUUGAUUGAACCGCAUGGUUCAAUCAUAAAAGGUGGCUUUUAGCUACCACUUACAGAUGGACCCGUGGCGCAUUAGCUAGUUGGUGAGGUAACGGCUCACCAAGGCGACUAUGCGUAGCCGACNUGAGAGGGUGAUCGGCCACACUGGGACUGAGACACGGCCCAGACUCCUACGGGAGGCAGCAGUAGGGAAUCUUCCGCUAAUGGACGAAGAGUACUAGACGGAGCAACGCCGCGUGAGUGAUGAAGGUUUUCGGAUCGUAAAACUCUGUUGUUAGGGCAAGAACAAGUUACGCGUU
rnacentral:rRNA from 1 species